rnacentral:snRNA from 1 species
AUAGAACUGGGUUUAACAUGGG